AUCCAGCCAUGCCGCGUGUGUGAAGAAGGUCUUCGGAUUGUAAAGCACUUUAAGUUGGGAGGAAGGGCAGUUACCUAAUACGUGAUUGUUUUGACGUUACCGACAGAAUAAGCACCGGCUAACUCUGUGCCAGCAGCCGCGGUAAUACAGAGGGUGCAAGCGUUAAUCGGAAUUACUGGGCGUAAAGCGCGCGUAGGUGGUUUGUUAAGUUGGAUGUGAAAGCCCCGGGCUCAACCUGGGAACUGCAUCCAAAACUGGCAAGCUAGAGUAUGGUAGAGGGUGGUGGAAUUUCCUGUGUAGCGGUGAAAUGCGUAGAUAUAGGAAGGAACACCAGUGGCGAAGGCGACCACCUGGACUGAUACUGACACUGAGGUGCGAAAGCGUGGGGAGCAAACAGGAUUAGAUACCCUG
rnacentral:rRNA from 1 species